rnacentral:lncRNA from 1 species
CAAAUUUCAAACCCUCUAUCUCUCUCUGUUCUUACACACACAGAGCUGAGAGAUAACACGGAGCUUGAAAAAAACAAACAAAACACACAGAUAGAAACGCGAAGCAGAAGAAGAAGUUGAAGAGAGAGAAACACGAGAUCAACGAAGAUCUAAGACCUUCUCCUCUUGGCUCUCCUCUUCCUCGACACCUUAGGUCUUGCUGAUCGACUUCCCUAUGGACGAGAUUAUCUUGGUAUUUCUUCAAUUUUAGUUUAGUUUCUUACAAAAUGUAUGAAAUUCUAGAAGAAUAAGAACACAUUGUCUAAGGGUUUAGCUUUAUUGGGUUUAUAGGAUUCUUGAUUUGGUUGAAUCUGAAUUUUUUGAAAUUUUCUUAUUUUAGGGUUUCUUUUGAUUGGUUUGAUGUUUACAAUUAUGUUUCUUGGUUAAAUUGAUCAGCAUUUCAUCUUGGGCUUCCCUUUGUGCAGAGUUAUCUUGGGCAGACUGGCUCUGUUGAAGAUUUGAUUCAUGGAGUGAAUUAAAACUUCAUCAUCCAGUGGAUUGAGGAGAGAUAUAAAAUAGAGUGGCUUCAAUAUUUCUCAUUUCCCCCCAAUUCAACCCAUCGGGCAAAUAGUCGUCGUCUGGUGGAAUCUGUGAGUUGAGUGCGAUAGAUACAGAUCGUCUUCGUCAAUUUUAUUCUACUGUGAUACCACUCUCUGGCUCUUCCAUCGAUGAUGACGCUUAUUCCGCUUCUUCUUCUCAUCACUUCGGCCGUCGGGUUACUUCUCUUUCCCCUUUCUUUACUUCUAUACAUGUACAAGCUUGAUUUUGCUUUUAAUUUUUUAAAUGAUUUGCCUAAUUUUUUUAAUUUUGAUGAAUUAUUUAUCUGGUUGAGUAUGUAUAGUCAUGACCUUUUAGAAAACAACUCAAUUCCGUUCAUUCCUCAUCUCUGUCACUUCCUUCCUUCCCUCUUUUCACUGUGUACAUGUCCAUAAAGUAAACCAUAGAUUAGUACAUCUGCAUAUCUUACAUAAAAAAUACCAUAAAAAUUCUGAUAAGAGACGAAUUGAAUUUUGCUCAGAUCAUCUGAAUGAAGCUUUAAAUUUUGUUAGCAGAUACUAGAGAGAGAAAGAUAAGAAGGGUAGUAAAUAAUACAGUAGUAGUAAUAAUAUUAAAUUUCAUCACAUUUCUUGUGAAAUUAAAAAGGGUUUUCUUUCCUUUUGCUUGUACCCAUUGUUGAGUAAAGCUUCAAUUUCGCGUAUAACUUAUAGCAUUUCACAUGUUAAGCAUCAAAAAAGGGGGGAAAUUGAGUGAUUGGGAGAGAGAAAUGUGUAAUUCAUUGAAAAAUGUUGGAUCAGGAAUUGGUUCCUGGUUGCGCGAAAAAAUUCUCGAUCCUCUGCUCCAAAUCCUGCAAAGGUACUUUUAAUUUUUAUUUGUUUAUGUAUAGAUAGAUACGUGUACUAUGUGUUUUUGUGUAAUAGUUAGAUUGCAUCUUUUAGUAAUUAAUAAUGUGUAUCUUUUUUGUUUGUCUAUUUAGUGGCUUGCUAAAUUAUCUGAUUCCUACAUAGUAUGUGUAGCCUUGGUGUUUUUUUAUUUGUUGUUAAUUGUUUGGCUGGGGGAAAAAGACAUUUUUGAAAAUUUUGGUAUAGUUUUCAUUCCAGACCUUUAAGUUGGAGAUAAGAUUGCAAAUAAUCUAGCUAAUGGGAGCAUUCAUUAAACUUCAAAAUUCAUGUUAGGGUGGAAAGUAGGUAAAAUUCAAGGGGUAAAUCACUGAAGUAAUCUUGUAAGCUAUUGUUUUAACAUUUUUCCCCAGAAAAAUAACUUCCGAACAAAAACCAAACAACUCAAGAUAACACAAGAUCAUAGGAGCCUGCAUAUAUAUUAAAAAAAAUCAAAUAGUAGAACCUAGGCACUAUGCAUUAGUUCUAACAUAUAUCCAUACCAAAUACUUAUCUCAUCUCCUAGGAACCAUUGUUCUGUACUUUGUUGUAAUUACUAAACACAAUAUCAAAGCAAUGCGUAGUAAAUGUGAAUAGGGUGUUAGUGUCCACAAUAUUUAAGUUACAAAGCUUCGAUAACAUCGUAACAGUUCUUUUAGAUUUUAACUAAAAAGUCAAGAAGUUGUUUUCUUUACUGCAUAAUUGUACUGGUAUAUUCAUUCAUCAAAAAAUAAAAAAUAUACAACAUGAACAUACUUUUAAUGUUUAUCCCUGGUUUUCAAACUAUCAGAUAUGCUCCACAGCUGCCCCUGGUUGUCCAGCACUGUCCUAACAGAGCUAAAAAUUGACAUAAGUCAGCAGCACCAAGUAGGCAGAGUUGAUAUUAUUUAUAACAAGAAAAAUAAAAUAACCCAGCAAAGUUUUAUGCGUAUCCUGCACGAAUGAAGAGUUGGGAGCAAGCAUUAUGUCUGUAGGGUAAGAAUUAUUCGUGAAGGCCAAGUAAAUUUCCUCUAGAAAUCAAAUACUCAAUCUUCUAUUAUAAAAGUAAGGAUCUUAUAAAACUAAGUGAUCUUAUAAAACUAAGGAUCUUAUACAACUAAGGAUAUUAUAAAGUAGAGAAAACAUAUCCAAUAUGCACUAUGUGAUUGCUGAAUGCAAAAAAUUUGACAAAAUUACUCAAAAAGCAUAAGCAGCAAGUACAUCAACACUGAAGGAUCUCAUAAAUAAAGAUUGAAAUACACCAACCUUUUACAAGAUUGACGUUUUGAGUUGAUAGUUCGUCAAAAUAUAAUAUUUCCUCCAUUCCUAAAAGAUUGAGUUUUAGAAAGUAAUUUUUGUUCUUAAAAGAUUGAUAUAAUAUCUCUACUUUCUCCUAUUUAAAGCUUUCUCCUAUUUAUAAUAUCUCUACUUUAUUCUUAUUUAAAGCUUUCUCCUAUUUAUUGUUGAAUAUAGCAUUGGGAUACAAAGUAUAAUUAAUUGAAUGGUAUACUCCUUUUUGGAAUCUACCAAGAUAAUAAUUGGCUGAGACAAUUAUAACAAGGGUAGUACAGUACUUUCUAUAGAUCUUAAGUUCAUUCCUUAAUCUAUGUGAAUAAACUUUAAACGGCAAUCUUUUAGAAACAGAGGGAGUAGUUGGUAAUUAUAAAUUGUUGAAAAAUGACAACUUAUUGACUAAUUUAGUAAUUACUUUUGAAAAAAAUAGAAAAAACUUAAUAAUAAAUUAGACAUGUUUUGAAUUUCUUUCUCUUUAUUUUUAAACAAAAAAGAAAUAUAAAAAUGAUUCUUACUAUUCUUUUCUUAGACAAAGUAACCACUUUUUUUUUAUAAUAGUAAUAAAAAAAGACAAUGAAAAUAUAAAAGAUGUUAAAAAGUCUAUUAAUAUUGAUAAACCGUAAGUAAUUUUAAAAAAAGAUAAUACACUUAAUCUAUGUAUAUGUGUGUUUGUAUGACAGAAGGAUCUCAUAAAUAAAGAUUGAAGUACGCCAACCUUUUACAAGGGGUUCCAACUUGGACUGCAACUAAUCAAUGUUUUUUUACAGGUAAUCCAUGCAAUAUAUAAGGCUUAUAUGACGAGGUCAGUUAAAGCAACUAUGUUGAUUAUAUCACGUUCUAGUCUAAUUUUUUGAUGAUGACUUAUUCAUUGGUACUAAAUUCUUCAUUAUGAAUUUCAGGAAAUUGUUUCAAGAAUUGUAUGAUGGAUUAUUCAAGAAGAAUGAAGACAUUUUGAGUCUUAAGAAAAAUAUGUAAGGUCAUUGCAAAUAUUUAAUUUUUCAAUUCAAGGCUCUAGGACAUUUUAGGUGUGCAUUUAAGUUGAUUAAAAAAAUUAAUGUUUCGUACAUGCUUAAUUUUAUGCUAACUGUUAUUACAUGAUUUAUUAUUAUACAUGCGUAAAAUGAUAAUUAUCCAGUUUAAUUGAAUUAUAUUACAUGUGUUAUAAGAGAGUUCUGAUUCUAUAUAAGCUGUAUAACAUGUGUGUAAUUUGUUGGAAGCACUAAAGCUUGUGGCGGUAAAGAUGUGAUCAUUAUCUGUUAGUUGAAUUAAAUACCCAAGUCUUGGGAAUAUAAGAUAAUGAUUAUCCUAGAGAGUUGUGUGAUAUUACACUUUCUUAUAUUUACAAAGUUAACACUCCAUUAUUUUUUGAAAGGCAGUAAUAUCUCUUAAACAAUUGUGGCGACAGUUUGUUUUUAAUCAUAUUUGCUACAGGUCUAGUCCUAUUUGACUUGGUCUCUAUCUAGAUUAUUUUUGAGAGAGUCUAACAUUUAUCCGAAGGUUAUUGGAUUUGUUAUGUUUAUUUUCAACAGAAAAUCAUUGGAACGUUGCAUUUUUAUUUUCAACGUAAAUUUUUAUGAAGCAACGGUAAUAUAUUUUCUGGUCUAUAAAAGGAACUAAGAUCAGUAUUGAAAACAACACUUACAACACUUAAAUUAAUAUUUUUGCACUCAUAUACUUUGGAAGCUAUUCUAUUCUUGGUGCAAAUUUUGAGCUGCUGAUCAAUUGAUAUUUUCAGUCAACUUUCAUGAGCUUCAUAUUGGUGAUAUCUAUCUUUUAUUACUUGAUCAUUGCAUUCACUAGUUGAGUCUUGCAUUGUUAAAUUGCUUAUUUGCUUUGAUCAUUAGACCUCUAUUAUUGUAAUCUUAAUUUGUUUUUAGACUAAGUGUUGUCUAAGGGAACAUAAUCCAGGUGGAUUAAGGUUUGUUUACAAACAGGUUCAAGGAAGCAUAGGUGCUUAAGGAGUGCAUUGGUGCACAAGGAGCAAGAGUGCUCAAGUGAAUUUUUGUAAUUCAAUUUUAUAAAAUCUGUUUUGUAACAAGAGUAUUUUAAAGAAAUAAAAGUGAGUCUCCAAUACUAGUUGGUAUUGGACGUGGAGUAGGCUAUAAUUAUAGAGGGUAAUAGUCGAACCACGUAAAAGAUCUUGGUGUUAAUUUUUUUAUUACUUGCUUUAACUUAAUAUUUCUAAAGCUAAUUGAAUUGCUUAAUAAAUAGAAUUUAUUUAUUUGUUACAUCGUGAGAAUUUGUGUUAACAUUAAAUAUUCUGUUUAACUUAUAAAAUCACCA